UUUUUGGAGAGUUUGAUCUUGGCUCAGGACGAACGCUGGCGGCGUGCCUAAUACAUGCAAGUCGAGCGCUGGAAGCUAAUUUCAUCCCUUCGGGAUGAAAUUAGUGGAAAGAGCGGCGGACGGGUGAGUAACACGUGGGCAACCUACCUAUAAGACUGGGAUAACUCGCGGAAACGUGAGCUAAUACCGGAUAAUACUU
rnacentral:rRNA from 1 species